rnacentral:lncRNA from 1 species
UAGGGGUUUAGGGCUUAUAGCUUAGGGUUUAGGGUAUAGGGUUUAGGGUUUAGGUUUUAGGGUUUAGAUCAGAUAUCUUAUUCAUAUUAUAUUUUACCUUAUGUAUAGAUUAGAGAAUGAAUUCUUUUAAUCUAGAUUUUUUCAUAAAAUUAAAUAAAGAAAACUACAUGAUUCUUGUAAAUUGAUUGAAAAAUAUUAGUGUUGGAAGAAAAACUCAUAAUCAAGGUAUUUAAGAUAGCAUCAAUUAAGCUUAUUUAUUAUAUAUAUUAAUAUGUUAUAGUUGAAUGAUGACAAUUGUGUAAAAUUUAGAAAAAAUAGGACAUAAUAUUUAUCAUAAUUGAUACAUUUUAGAUGUCUAUCAGAUAAGAAUAUUAUGUGGGUUUUAUUUAAAACCACUUUUCAAAAUUGGGUGUAUAUGAAAAUUCCCCUAAAAUAAAAUAACAUAAAGGUAGUAAAAUAAUUGCCCUAAGUGAGCUGAUUUCUUUAGCCCAGCCCAAUGGAUCAAACCUAGCAGGAACCCAAUCCUCCUUCUAGCACAAACCCGAAGCUGUUAUGCCCCGUCUCCCCACCACAGACGUGGGGCCUCCAACGCUACGCUGUCCGUCCAUCAACCAACAACGUCGAGCAUCUCAGUCCUAUCCGCCACCAACCAAAACAUCGAGAUUAUGCAACUAGAUUUGGAGCUGAUAGCCAUCGAUCAAAUACUCUACCUUUGAAAAUAUUAGCUAUGAUAUACAUACAUUUAAAGCAAAGGGUGUUUAUACACGUUUUAUUACGUACUUACUUAUAUAUAGUGAAAUUCACAAACUUCAUAUUUAAAUCUAUACUAUGUAUCUUUUUUCCUUAUGUAGGGUUAAAUAACUACCUUUAAGCCGUAACGGUUAAUGAAAUCAUUGAAUACAUUCUAGUGUUGACGGCAACGCUCAAUGGUCCUACUUCAAUCUUGUCAUAGUAAUGAUGAGAUUAUCUACAUUCUAGUAUUAAUGAUAUUCUUUUUCUAGUAGUAAUGAAAUUCUCUUUUAUUUGGUUAUACUUGGUCAAAGUAUUUAACCUCAUUUUGAAUUUGGGCAAAUUGAUAUAACUUUCGUUUCGGAUUGGUUUAAAAUAGUUGGGUUUGGCUGUAACUUCAUUUGAAGUCAAUAAUUUGAAGAUUUGUUGUGGUUGUAUGAAGUCAAAUGUCGGAGUGAGGUGGUAAUCUAGAUGAGUUUCAAGUGGCUCCAACCAUCAAAGACAACUCUAUGUUAAAAUGACAACUGGUGAUGCUUGAAGUUGAGCACGCUGACAUUCAUUAUCCAACUCCGAGCACU